rnacentral:rRNA from 1 species
UCAUCUUCGGGGGUAGAGCACUGUUUCGGCUAGGGGGUCAUCCCGACUUACCAACCCGAUGCAAACUACGAAUACCGAAGAAUGUUAUCACGGGAGACACACGGCGGGUGCUAACGUCCGUCGUGAAGAGGGAAACAACCCAGACCGCCAGCUAAGGUCCCAAAGUCAUGGUUAAGUGGGAAACGAUGUGGGAAGGCCCAGACAGCCAGGAUGUUGGCUUAGAAGCAGCCAUCAUUUAAAGAAAGCGUAAUAGCUCACUGGUCGAGUCGGCCUGCGCGGAAGAUGUAACGGGGCUAAACCAUGCACCGAAGCUGCGGCAGCGACACUAUGUGUUGUUGGGUAGGGGAGCGUUCUGUAAGCCGUUGAAGGUGGCCUGUGAGGGUUGCUGGAGGUAUCAGAAGUGCGAAUGCUGACAUAAGUAACGAUAAUGCGGGUGAAAAACCCGCACGCCGGAAGACCAAGGGUUCCUGUCCAACGUUAAUCGGGGCAGGGUGAGUCGACCCCUAAGGCGAGGCCGAAAGGCGUAGUCGAUGGGAAACAGGUUAAUAUUCCUGUACU